rnacentral:rRNA from 1 species
GUUGUUUUCUUCGCUUCUUGCUUUUGGCCCCUAGCUUUACGUAGAAAGGGUGGGAUUAUUGUGGGUUGGAGUUCGGGAAGGACAAAAAGUAGUGCGAGUUUCACGGGGUGGCCACCCUAGUCCUUCUCGACUACCGUCCCAUGCAGCUGCCCCCUUUUUGCGAAGGCGUGGGGUUUGGGAGCUUGUUAUCUAUUUGAGCCUCCCCUUGCUAGCCGAUAGCCACGUUUGAUAUCUCUCUUUCUUUCGUGUUGUUUUCUUCCCUUGUUCCUUUCGGCCCCUAGCUUUACGGAGAAAAGGUGGGAUUGUUGUGGAUUGGUGUUGGGGAAGGAAAAAAUGUAGUGCGAGUUCCCGGGGUGGCCACCCUAGUCCUUCUCAAUCGUCGUCCCCUGCAGUUCCCCCCUUUUUGCGUAGGCACGGGGUUGGGGAAGCUUGUUCUCUAUUUGAAGCCUCCCCUUGUGAGUCGGUAACCAUGGUUGAUGUCCCUUUCUUUCAUUUUGUUUUCUUCCCUUCUUCCUUCUGGCCCCUAGCUUUACAGAGAAAAGGUGGCAUUGUUGUGGAUUGGUGUUCGAGAAGGAAGAAACGCAGUGUGAGCUCCCGGGGUGGCCACCCUAGUCCUCCCGAUCAUCUUACCCUUCAAUUCCCCCCUUUUUGUGAAGGCAUGGGGCUUGGGAGGCUUGUGCUUUGUUUGAGCUUCCCCUUGUGAGCCGAUAGCCAUGUGUGAUCUCUGUUUCUUUCACCUUGUUUUCUUCCCUUCUUCCUUUCGGUCCCUAGCUUUACGGAGAAAAGGGGGAAUUUUUGUGGACUGGUGUUUAGGAAGGACUAAAAGUAGUGCGAGCUCCAGGGGUGGCCACCCUAGUCCUUCUCGAUUGCUUUUCCAUGCAUUUCCCCCCAUUUUGCGUGGGCAUGGGGCUCGAGGAGAUUGUUCUCUAUUCGAGCCUCCUCCUUUGAGGGGGGUAGGCCCCCGGUUAAAAUCUUGGUGGUAGUAGCAAAUAUUCAAAUGAGAAAUUUGAAGACUGAAGUGGAGAAAGGUUCCAUGUGAACAACACUUGGACAUGGGUUAUUCGAUCCUAAGAGAUGGGGAAGCCUUGUAUCAAGGGUGCACUCUGUGCGAGCAUCGAAAGGGAAUUGAGUUAAUAUUCUUGAACCGGGACAUGGCGGUGGGCGGUAACGUUAGGAAAUCCGGAGAUGUCGUUGGGGGCCCUGGGAAGAGUUAUCUUUUCUUUUUAACAACUUACCCACCCUGGAAUUGGUUCACCCUAAGAUAGGGUCCAACAGCUGGAAGAGCACCGCACAUCUUGCGGUGUCUGGCACACCCUCGGCAGCCCUUGAAAAUCUGGAGGACCAAGUACCGUUCAUGCCCGGUGAUACUCAUAACCACAUCAGGUCUCCAAGGUGAACAACCUCUAGUCAAUAGAACAAUGUAGGUAAGGGAAGUCGGCAAAACGGAUCCGUAACUUCGGGAAAAGGAUUGGCUCUGAUGGUUGGGCGUAGGGGUCUGCACCCUCAACUCGUGGGCUGUCGGCAGUCUGCUCGAGCUGUUCUCACACCAAGGGCGGGCAGUUGCGUGCUGAUUGGGAUAUGGGUGUAGAAUGCCCCCUACCAGGGGCUUUUCCCUAGGCGUUGAACAAUCGACUCAGAACUGGUACGAACAAGGGGAAUCCGACUAUUUAAUUAAAACAAAGCAUUGUGAUGGUCCCUGCGGAUGCUGACACAAUGUGAUUUCUGCCCAGUUCUCUGAAUGUCAAAGUGAAGAAAUUCAACCAAGUGCGGGUAAACGACGGGAGUAACUAUGACUCUCUUAAGGUAUCCAAAUGCCUCGUCAUCUAAUUAGUGAUACGCAUGAAUGGAUUAACGAGAUUCCCACUGUCCCUAUUGUCACAAAAAAUAUCGUCACCAUGACUAUUUUCAGUCAGUAUGGGUCUAUCAGCACUUAUACUGUCCUCCUAAGCAAGUCUCAAACCUCAGCUCUUCAUGUCAAGCUUUGAAAAUGAGAGAAAGACAUUAAAAAUCAAUAAAGCUUUGGUUCUGCAGUUUCUCUUACUGUUACCUGUGGUCCCGCACCCUUUGUUCAUGUUACCUGUGGAUCUGCCUGCUCUAUCUGUAAAGGGGUGGGUGUGGACCCUUGUGAAAGUCAAAAAGGUGCAAGUUUAUUCUAAAAAACUCACUUUGGGUUAAUUCUAGAUGAUUCUAGAAGGAAUUUUGACAUGGAUUGUUCGCUCCAAGGUUGUUCAUGCAUCCCAAAAUAGAUGGAGCUAAUCCCUUGAUAAGAGGAGCUAUCCCUUUGAAGGAGGGCUUUAUCCCUUUGAAGGAGGACCUAGUAACUUCCCUCCAUUGCACCAUAAAUUAAGGCAUUGGGCUGGUUGCUAGGGAGGUUAGAAGCUGAACAUUUUUAAGGGUAAAUGUUGAUGGAAUUAAGACUUCCCAGUUAAGCUUGAGAGGAGAGAUCACAUACCUUUUGGCUUCAUUGGGAAGUGAGUGAAA